UCCACCGCGAGGUGGAAAUCUAGAAGGAAGCUCAAGGCAAAUGCACGAGCCAACGUACAUGAACUGGAUUUGAGGCAGGGUUAGCUGGAUGAAGUCGCCAAGACUGGUCGAUGCAACAGGGCGUAUUCAUUUUCGAGAACUCGAAAAGUUGGAAGUUUAACACGGGCUGAAGUGUUGAUGUGC
rfam:Paenibacillus sp. TNCCL117 genome assembly, contig: FG16DRAFT_scaffold00003.3